ACAAAUCUUCUGGUCAGGCUCCACUUCUAAAUUUUAUAACUAAUUCCCAUUAUCCCUUUGGUGACGUUCCAGGAGAAUACUGGGUUGAUCCUAACCAAGGCUGCAAGAUGGAUGCUAUAAAAGUGUUCUGUAAUAUGGAAACCGGAGAAACAUGCAUAAAUGCCAGUCCCAUGACUGUCCCGCGGAAGCACUGGUGGACAGAUGCUGGUGCUGAGAAGAAACAUGUUUGGUUUGGAGAAUCUAUGAAUGGUGGCUUUCAGGUAAGAAAAGAUAUGUACCUUUUAAACUGAGAUGUGCCUACUAACACUUUUUUCCUUUUACUUGUUUAUGGUUGCUAAGUAGAACACCCCAAAUAAAGCCUGUGGUUAGACAAUUAUUAUUCCUAUAAAAGGCUAAAUUAUACCAAGGCCGUUUCAUGUAAACACCCUUCUUUAACUUGUUAAUGCAUUCACCUCUGCACACAAUAAAAUAUAAUCAUACAAUGUGUGUGAACAAGUUAUAACGCAAUGUCCAUGCUAAUGUUGUAUGAAUCCCUUACCCUAGGUUUCACUCACAAACUUAGAUGUACUAUUUUUUUUAUAGUUCAGCUAUGGCAAUCCUGAUCUUCCUGAAGAUGUCCUUGAUGUACAGCUGGCCUUCCUCAGACUUCUUUCCAGCCGGGCCUCCCAGAACAUUACAUACCACUGCAAAAACAGCAUUGCCUACAUGGAUCAG
rnacentral:lncRNA from 1 species